AUGUUGCCAGAUGAGCCUUUUAUGCUCACUUUGAUCUCCUCAACCAAGAGUCAGAUGUCAAGUCUGCCCCACCUCCAGAGGACCGGCCACUGUCACUAUCAACAGCGGAUGGAAGAAAAAACCCUGAUGAGUUUUCAACCUAUUGGAACUCAAAUGAAUUGACAAAUUCAAGAUACCAGUUGAGUUGUCCAGGCGUCCUCUGUAUUCCUCUAAGCCUUUCAAGUUUGGGCAGACAUUGAAUAAAAAACCACAGUAACUUGACCGUGUCAUUCUGAUGAAGUGCUAUGAGAAACUGGUUCUCCAGCACAUGAAACACAACCUCCCAGCCAGCAUGGACCAUCACCAGUUGCACAUAGAGCCAACAGAUUCACAGAGGAUACCACUUCCCUCCACUCAGCCCUCACCCUCUGGAAAAUAACAACACCUACAUCAGAAUGCUGCUUGUUGGUUUCAGCUCAGCAUUCAAUACAAGCCUGUUGUAUGUGUAAAAUAACGUUUGUAUGAAGUUACAGGUAGCUAGGGCAGUGGCGGUGCACUGUAAAGUGCCUUUAUGGAAGGUUUAAGGGAGUUGUUGUGGGAUAUUCUUCUGUAUUAUAAUAAAAUUCUCGGUGAGAUGUUCAAUAAAGUUACGGAAAACCAG